rnacentral:rRNA from 1 species
CCUACGGGAGGCAGCAGUGAGGAAUAUUGGUCAAUGGACGCAAGUCUGAACCAGCCAUGCCGCGUGCAGGAAGACGGCUCUAUGAGUUGUAAACUGCUUUUGUACGAGGGUAAAUCCCGAUACGUGUAUCGGGUUGCAAGUAUCGUACGAAUAAGGAUCGGCUAACUCCGUGCCCGCAGCCGCGGUAAUACGGAGGAUUCAAGCGUUAUCCGGAUUUAUUGGGUUUAAAGGGUGCGUAGGCGGUUCGAUAAGUUAGAGGUGAAAUCCCGGGGCUCAACUCCGGCACUGCCUCUGAUACUGUCGGGCUAGAGUGUAGUUGCGGUAGGCGGAAUGUAUGGUGUAGCGGUGAAAUGCAUAGAGAUCAUACAGAACACCGAUUGCGAAGGCAGCUUACCAAACUACGACUGACGUUGAGGCACGAAAGCGUGGGGAGCAAACAGGAUUAGAUACCCUAGUAGUC